ACGCUGGCGGCGUGCCUAAUACAUGCAAGUCGAACGGACAAGUAAGAGCUUGCUCUUAUGAGUUAGUGGCGCACGGGUGAGUAAUGUAUAGCUAAUCUGCCCUACACUAGAGGACAACAGUUGGAAACGACUGCUAAUACUCUAUACUCCUAUCUAACAUAAGUUAGAUAGGGAAAGUUUUUCGGUGUAGGAUGAGGCUAUAUUGUAUCAGCUAGUUGGUGAGGUAAUGGCUCACCAAGGCUAUGACGCAUAACUGGUCUGAGAGGAUGAUCAGUCACACUGGAACUGAGACACGGUCCAGACUCCUACGGGAGGCAGCAGUAGGGAAUAUUGCUCAAUGGGGGAAACCCUGAAGCAGCAACGCCGCGUGGAGGAUGACACUUUUCGGAGCGUAAACUCCUUUUGUUAGGGAAGAACAAUGACGGUACCUAACGAAUAAGCACCGGCUAACUCCGUGCCAGCAGCCGCGGUAAUACGGAGGGUGCAAGCGUUACUCGGAAUCACUGGGCGUAAAGGACGCGUAGGCGGAUUAUCAAGUCUCUUGUGAAAUCCUAUGGCUUAACCAUAGAACUGCUUGGGAAACUGAUAAUCUAGAGUGAGGGAGAGGCAGAUGGAAUUGGUGGUGUAGGGGUAAAAUCCGUAGAGAUCACCAGGAAUACCCAUUGCGAAGGCGAUCUGCUGGAACUCAACUGACGCUAAUGCGUGAAAGCGUGGGGAGCAAACAGGAUUAGAUACCCUGGUAGUCCACGCCCUAAACGAUGUAUACUAGUUGUUGCUAAGCUAGUCUUGGCAGUAAUGCACCUAACGGAUUAAGUAUACCGCCUGGGGAGUACGGUCGCAAGAUUAAAACUCAAAGGAAUAGACGGGGACCCGCACAAGCGGUGGAGCAUGUGGUUUAAUUCGAAGAUACGCGAAG
rnacentral:rRNA from 1 species